rnacentral:rRNA from 1 species
UACAUGGGGUGCAAACGUUGCUCGGAAUUAUUGGGCGUAAAGCGCGCGUAGGCGGUUAUCUAAGUCGGAUGUGAAAGCCCUCGGCUUAACUGAGGAAGUGCACCCGAAACUGGAUAGCUAGAGUACGAAAGAGGGUCGCGGAAUUCCCGGUGUAGAGGUGAAAUUCGUAGAUAUCGGGAGGAACACCGGUGGCGAAGGCGGCGACCUGGGUCGAGACUGACGCUGAGGCGCGAAAGCGUGGGGAGCGAACAGG